UACGUAGGGUGCAAGCGUUAAUCGGAAUUACUGGGCGUAAAGCGUGCGCAGGCGGUUAUGUAAGACAGUUGUGAAAUCCCCGGGCUCAACCUGGGAAUUGCAUCUGUGACUGCAUAGCUAGAGUACGGUAGAGGGGGAUGGAAUUCCGCGUGUAGCAGUGAAAUGCGUAGAUAUGUGGAGGAACACCGAUGGCGAAGGCAGCCCCCCUGGGUCAAAACUGACGCUCAUGCACGAAAGCGUGGGGAGCAAACAGG
rnacentral:rRNA from 1 species